GGUCUUUUCAUUAAUUGCGCAUCGCCUAUAUGAUGGGGUGUCGGGUUCGCCCGACUAUGGCGAUAAACGAUGGCGUGAACUAGGCGCAGCGGACCCGGGGGCAGUACCCGGCGGCUCCACCACAACCCCUUGGGCGACCAAAGGGGCUUUGACGGGGCCGAACCAGGAUCGACGUGUGUUGAACGGCGCUGUCUUUUGCUCGGAAUGGGACCACCGCAACGGCCCGUAACCAAGUGCCAACGAUAACGAGGCGCUCGCGAUUGCGGCCUAACUCAAGACCUAACGGUCUAGGUUAGUCAGACAAAAGCGCGGUUGGGCUGCACCGGGCAACAGAAGCAGUUCC
rnacentral:tmRNA from 2 species